rnacentral:rRNA from 1 species
GACAGAGGGUGCAAACGUUGUUCGGAAUUACUGGGCGUAAAGCGCGUGUAGGCGGCCAUGCAAGUCGGAUGUGAAAGCCCUCGGCUCAACCGGGGAAGUGCACUCGAAACUGCAAGGCUAGAGUCUCGGAGAGGAUCGUGGAAUUCUCGGUGUAGAGGUGAAAUUCGUAGAUAUCGAGAGGAACACCGGUGGCGAAGGCGGCGAUCUGGGCCGAAACUGACGCUGAGGAGCGAAAGCGUGGGUAGCAAACAGG